UACGUAGGGGGCAAGCGUUGUCCGGAAUCAUUGGGCGUAAAGAGCGUGUAGGCGGUUCGGUAAGUCGGCUGUGAAAGUCCAGGGCUCAACCCUGGGAUGCCGGUCGAUACUGCCGGACUAGAGUUCGGAAGAGGCGAGUGGAAUUCCCGGUGUAGCGGUGAAAUGCGCAGAUAUCGGGAGGAACACCUAUGGCGAAGGCGAAUCCCUGGAAAAUACCUGACACUGAGGCACGAAAGCUAGGGGAGCAAACAGG
rnacentral:rRNA from 1 species